rnacentral:lncRNA from 1 species
UUUCUGUAAGAUGCUCUCUCUCCUCUAUCGUCCAGAUCUAUUUUCCCACUAUCGCCAUUUUCUUCCAUCGCCGAGAUCAACCGCCAUUUCCGUAAGAUGCUCUCUCUCCCCAGCUUUCUCUACUAUCGCCAUUUCCUUCCCCAAAUCAAAUUCAUAAAAUUAAAAAUAAUUUAUUUAUCCUUCCCCAAAUCAAACCUAAUUUCUGUCGGAUAAAUUUCUGAAUAAUAAAACUUUCAAUCAAUCCUCAAUGAAAAUCAAAGUGUUGUAAGCAAUCAAGGUCAAGGGCAAAGAAGCAGUAUAAAAAGAGUUUUCAAUUAGGGGAAAAUAAGGUAAAUAAACCUUUUUUGAUAUUGUAUUUGGCGG